CACCGCCGCGGUAAUACGAAGGGGGCUAGCGUUGUUCGGAUUUACUGGGCGUAAAGGGCUCGCAGGCGGUUUCUUAAGUCUGAUGUGAAAGCCCCCGGCUCAACCGGGGAGGGUCAUUGGAAACUGGGAAACUUGAGUGCAGAAGAGGAGAGUGGAAUUCCACGUGUAGCGGUGAAAUGCGUAGAGAUGUGGAGGAACACCAGUGGCGAAGGCGACUCUCUGGUCUGUAACUGACGCUGAGGAGCGAAAGCGUGGGGAGCGAACAGGAUUAGAUACCCGUGUAGUCCCUGUCUCUUAUACA
rnacentral:rRNA from 1 species